UUUUAAACCCGACAGCCGCGGCAGCCCCGAGUUUUCACGAGGGCUAUAGCAAAUGGCGGGGCUUUCG
rnacentral:sRNA from 1 species